AGUGAACGCUGGCGGCGUGCCUAAUACAUGCAAGUCGAACGGAGUGGCGCACGGGUGAGUAAUAUAUAGCUAACCGCCCCCUUGCUGGGGGACAACAGUUAGAAAUGACGGCUAUAACUCCAUAGCAAGAGAUGAGACUAUAUCGUAUCAGCUAGUCGGUGGGGUAACGGCCUACCGAGGCUAUGACGCGUAACUGGUCUGAGAGGAUGAUCAGUCACAUUGGAACUGAGACACGGUUCAAAAUCAUUCGGGAGGCAGCAGAAGGGAAUAUUGCGCAAUGGGGGAAACCCUGAGGCAGCAACGGCGCGUGGAGGAUGACAAUUGUCGGAGAGUAAACUCCUUUUGUUAGGGAAGCGGUACCUGACGAAUAAGCACCGGCUAACUCCGUGCCAGCCGCCGCGGUAAUUC
rnacentral:rRNA from 1 species